AGUGAAGCAUCUGUGUGGUUUCCUGGAGAGUCCAGGAUGUGGACUUGAAACUCUGAGACUGAGUCACUGUGACCUGUCAGAGAGAAGCUGUGAAGCUCUGGCCUCAGGUCUCAGCUCUCAGACCUCUAACCUGAGACAGCUGGACCUGAGUAACAAUAACCUGAAGGAUUCAGGCGUGAAGCUUCUGUCUGAAGGACUGAAGAGUCCACACUGUACACUGGAAACUCUCAGUCUGUCAGGCUGUCUGAUCACAGAGGAAGGCU